GACCAUCGACCCUCUGCUCCCGCCGCCUCUGUGCGUGGCGCCACCGCUGUUUUCUCUUCCAUUGGUGAGUCUAACCUCCGCCCAGUACACAAAUCACGGUCCUCAUCUUGAUCUCUGUUGCUAAUUCAUCUGUGUUGUACUUUGUUUCUGUUGCGGCGUUGGUUCCUCUUGUGUCGAUGGUCUGAGGAAAGGGGCGGGGCAGUGGAGCUCACCUGGAGGCUGCGGCUGGGGCAAAAGGGGCACGCGGCGGAGCUCAGUGGUGGGGUGGGCGGCGGAGUUCGGAUGGAGGGCACAACUGCUCUACUCGUGGUGGCCGCCGAUGCCUUCUGCUGCAGGUCUAUGUGGUGCCGUGGUGGCCAGGGGACAGCCGUAUGGCAGCGAUGCAGCAGUGGAGCAGCACUCACAACGCUGCUGUGCAAUGGCAACACUCCUAGCAGCAGCCCGACAACAUUGCUGCAGGCAUGUUCAGUAGUAGGCAACCAAGGACGGAAGGGCCUAGGCAACUACAACAAGCAAGGAUUGUUAAUGUGCAAUUCAACAAACUGAAGAUUAAAGAAUUGUUGUAACAUGGACAAAGAUGGAGACAUCGCAUCUGUUUUUUUUUCAGAAAAUAUGUGAUAAAGAGGACGGCUUUGCCUUCCCUGGUAGUGGUUUUGAAGGAAGAACAAACUGAACAUCCAUGUAUGCUGAGGUAACCGAUGACAUGGGCAUAAAUUUUGAGUUCAGAUUGGUAAUACUUCAGUUAGCACAAGACACAUAUAGUUCGUAUCCAACUUGCACUUUUUCCAACUCAAGAUCAAUGUUUAAUGGAACAGGGUAUCAUUGUUCCAAGGAUGGUUGCACAGGUAUAACUAUAUUGAUCUUUAGGCACAUUUUAGAUUCUCUAAUAACUAAAAGUGUUAUCAGUAUUAGGCUGAAUGUGUAAUGUAAUGAUAAUUCUAUAUAUCAUAUAUAUUUAUAUACUACUGAUGAAUAAGAUGAGACAAUAAUAGUAGUACCUCGUGAUGAAUGUAUAUCUUAUAUACUUAGUACCUAUGUCAUAACUAGGAAUUCUUUACCUUUAACUCAUCGUCUACUCUACUGGUUCCCUUUCCAGAUUUGUAAAGUAGUAUCUCUAUACACAUUAUUUCUCAUUUCUUUACAUACUUCAGAAAUCAAUAAAAUUGUGUUUUGGAACGAAAUAAGUGCUAUGGCAUCGGUUUGCCUAGAGGAAGAAACAUGUAGUGUUGGUGCCAUUGGUUGUCAGUGACAUUGUUUAUUCUAUUGAAAAAAGAAUAUGGUCCUAAUCAAGCACAACAUAUAUAAAGGUCAAGUACAUGUUUGCUAUUUUCACAGCCAAAUUUUUUACAUAAUUCAUGGUUCAUCUCUUACCCUAAUGUACGCCUCUUUCUUAAAACUAAAUAUUUUCAUACCAUAUUCUCAUUUGUUUAAAUUGAAUGUGCAUGUGUACAACCCAAAUGGAAGCACAUGGGAGCUCAUCAGACUAAGUGACUAACGAUAGGAUCUCUUGGCUAUGGUAAUGGCUGAAGCAUUUGGGGUACUUCUGUAUAAAUAGGAUCUGGUCAUGAAUUAAGAUAUUUGCAGCCUCCCAAACAGAGAUGUCAGGGUCGACAGUAUGCUACGUGUAAUCUCCAAUUUGCCUUGCUAACGCAUAUGCAGUUAUAUAAGAUUUUGUUGUGUGCAGCAAAGCCACUUUUGAUCUCUCCUUGAAGGCAGCUGGGUAUUUGGACUAUGCAAUUCAUCUUGCAUG